rnacentral:ncRNA from 1 species
GUGUGAGGACGCCCCAGUUAACCUUAUAAUUGAGGAGCUGACAUCAGGCACAAUUUUUAGCCCAAGACGUCUGGCCAUGCCACACCCACACGGGUCUUCAGCAGUGAUUAACAUUGAGCAUGAGCGACAGCUUGACUCAGUUAAAGUAAAAAGAGCCGGCAAAUAUUGUGCCAGCAGCCGCGGUUACACAAUAGAGCUCAAGUUGAUUUCUUUCGGCGUAAAGUGUGGUUAAAGUAAAUAAUAAACUAGAGCUAAACUAAAACUAAGUUGUAAUAAGCUUGUUAUUAGAAAACUCAAAAACGAAAGUUACUCUAACAAAUUAACUUGAAUCCACGACAGCCAGGGAACAAACUGGGAUUAGAUACCCCACUAUGCCCGGCCGUAAACUUUAAUAGUACUAAUAAAUCGCCAGGGGACUACGAGCAAUGCUUAAAACCUAAAGGAUUUGACGGUACCCCAUACUUCCUAGAGGAGCCUGUCCAAUAACCGAUACUCCGCGUUAAACCUCACCACUUCUUGCCUAUCAGUCUGUAUACCUCCGUCGUCAGUCUACCGCGUGAGCGACCAACAGUAGGCUCAAUGGACUAUCCUCCACAACGUCAGGUCGAGGUGCAACAAAUGAAGUGGAAAUAGAUGGGCUACACUUUCUAUUAUAGAAGAUACGAAAGACUUUAUGAAAAAUAGUCAAAAGGUGGAUUUAGAAGUAAGAGAGAAUCAGAAUGCCUCUCUUAAUAUAGCACUGGGGUGUGUACACACCGCCCGUCGCCCUCUUCAAAAAAAACAAAACUAAAGUAUUUAACUAACUAUAACAAAAAAGAAGAGGAUUGUCGUAACAUG